rnacentral:misc_RNA from 1 species
UGGUUCUGGCAUCGAUGAAGAACGCAGCGAAAUGCGAUAAGUAAUGUGAAUUGCAGAAUUCAGUGAAUCAUCGAAUCUUUGAACGCACAUUGCGCCCAUUAGUAUUCUAGUGGGCAUGCCUGUUCGAGCGUCAUUUCAACCCCUAAGCACAGCUUAUUGUUGGGAAUCUACGCCCUAGUAGUUCCUCAAAGACAUUGGCGGAGUGGCAGUAGUCCUCUGAGCGUAGUAAUUCUUUAUCUCGCUUUUGUUAGGUGCUGCCUCCCCGGCCGUAAACCCCCAAUUUUUUCUGGUUGACCUCGGAUCAGGUAGGAAUACCCGCUGA